rnacentral:rRNA from 1 species
UACAGAGGUCUCAAGCGUUGUUCGGAUUCAUUGGGCGUAAAGGGUGCGUAGGCGGCGCGGUAAGUCGGGUGUGAAAUCUCGGGGCUUAACUCCGAAACUGCAUUCGAUACUGCCGUGCUUGAGGACUGGAGAGGAGACUGGAAUUUACGGUGUAGCGGUGAAAUGCGCAGAUAUCAGGAGGAACACCGGUGGCGAAGGCAGGUCUCUGGGCCACUACUGACGCUGAGAAGCGAAAGCAUGGGGAGCGAACAGG